rnacentral:rRNA from 1 species
AGGGAAUCUUCCACAAUGGACGCAAGUCUGAUGGAGCAACGCCGCGUGAGUGAAGAAGGUUUUCGGAUCGUAAAGCUCUGUUGUUGGUGAAGAAGGAAUAGAGGUAGUAACUGGCCUUUAUUUGACGGUAAUCAACCAGAAAGUCACGGCUAACUACGUGCCAGCAGCCGCGGUAAUACGGUAGGUGGCAAGCGUUGUCCGGAUUU